AUGGCCUAAAGGGUUGUGCCUAAUCUUUGGUGACUGCUUGUGUUUUGUGGAAUAACUUCUGUAUCCAUUUCCAGUGAUCUUACAUUCAAACACAGAGGCCGCACAGCCGGACCAGGCUGCACCCCACUGGGAAGCCUAACAAGCUUGCAGCUCGCUGGACUUGGACGUCUUCCUCCACAGACUCGGGCAGGGGCCAGGGAGCGCGCGAGUUACACAAUCUGCAUAUCAUUUGCAUACUAAGUCGGAAGCACGUGACUCUUCCUGAAACCGCCAUUCCCUCAGAAACCGGAGAUGACUGUGCACCUGAAGUUUGCCUUCCAUACCGUAAAUAAAAUUUUCCAAAAUGGAGGGAGUGGAGGUGUGGCUGUUCUACAAGUCUUCACGGGUGAACCAUUGUAGAUGAAAACUGGCAGCAGUUCCUCCUGAUGUCGAUGGUUAUACAUGAAAACUGAUUUGCAGUGUUUUGGGUGCUGGGAAGACCCAUCAUGUAUGAUGAGUGAAGAUGAUGUCCAUCAGAUGCUUGCAAGCCAAGUAGCAAAGAUUUUAAGAUCUGCAUCACCCGGGUAGACCUUGUCCACAGAGGCUUCAUUCAGUGGCGAAGACAGAAGAAGGGCUCCCCUGUCAAUAAACUCCAUGUGACUUUCAUUGGAGAAGUAGGAAUGGAGGAAGGAAGAUGGUGCUUAUAGGAGACAUGUUUUCAGCACCAUGCAUCUUCAGAAACUGGUGUUGUCAGUUCUUUGCAACAGGAGACAUUGAUGCUCUGCAGCUGAACAGAGACAAUAUGGAUGAUCUUGAAUAUGUUUUACUCAUAGAAAAGGUGGAGAAAUUGCAAGUUGUGGUUACACAGAGCUGCUAAAGUUGGACAGAAAGCCAGAUGCUGUUGGAUGCUGAGUGCCAGCAGAAGUCCAAGCGGAUCAAGAGAAAAUGCCAUCAUCAACUUCCUCCAGAACUUUCUGCAAGACCUUGAAAUCACAGGUCAGGAUGAAGAGCGGGGAAUGUGAAAGUCUCUGACCCAAGAUGUUUUGCAAAGUGAGAAUCAAGAACUCCUAACUGGACAAAGACACAAGCGCCCCCUAAGAUUUGACCACCAGCGCAAUGAAAAAUGUCUGGUCAACACAUUUGUUUCCCACUUGGAGAACAUGCAAACUCCACACGGAAAACCACAGGCAGACCAGGGUUUGAACCCAGAACCUUCUUACUGUGAAGCAACAGUGCUAACUGCUGAGCUACUGUGGCUACCCACGAGUAA